rnacentral:rRNA from 1 species
AGAGCGAACGCUGGCGGCAGGCCUAACACAUGCAAGUCGAACGCACCUUCGGGUGAGUGGCGGACGGGUGAGUAACACGUGGGAACGUACCUUUUGGUUCGGAAUAACGCAGGGAAACUUGCGCUAAUACCGAAUGUGCUCCGUAAGGAGGAAAGAUUUAUCGCCAUUAGAGCGGCCCGCGUUAGAUUAGCUAGUUGGUGAGGUAAAGGCUCACCAAGGCUACGAUCUAUAGCUGGUCUGAGAGGAUGAUCAGCCACAUUGGGACUGAGACACGGCCCAAACUCCUACGGGAGGCAGCAGUGGGGAAUCUUGCGCAAUGGGCGAAAGCCUGACGCAGCCAUGCCGCGUGAAUGAUGAAGGUCUUAGGAUUGUAAAAUUCUUUCAGUAGGGACGAUAAUGACGGUACCUACAGAAGAAGCCCGCUAACUUCGCGCCAGCAGCCGC